rnacentral:rRNA from 1 species
AUUAACGCUGGCAGAGUGCAUAACACAUGCAAGUCGAGCGGUUCUUGGCAGCGUAUCGCUAAGAAUAGCGGCAGACGAGUGAGUAACACGUAAGCAACCUGCCCCCGAAAGGCGAAUAACGCCGCGAAAGCGGUGCUAAUACGCCGUAUUGCCCAUGCAGGGCAUCCUGCGAGGGUGAGAGGCCCGCAAGGGCCGUUCGGGGAGGGGCUUGCGGCCCAUCAGCUAGUUGGUGAGGUCACGGCUCACCAAGGCUAUGACGGGUACCCGGCCUGAAAGGGCGAACGGGCACGAAGGCACUGAGACACGGGCCUUACUCCUACGGGAGGCAGCAGUGGGGAAUUUUGGACAAUGGGCGAAAGCCUGAUCCAGCAACUCUGCGUGAGGGACGAAGUCUUUCGGGAUGUAAACCUCUUUUGUCGGGGACGAAUGCCCGCAAGGGUUUGACGGUACUCGGCGAAUAAGCCACGGCUAACUACGU